GCCACCUUAGCUCAGUUGGUAGAGCAACGGUUUUGUAAACCGUAGGUCGUCAGUUCAAGUCUGACAGGUGGCUCAA
rnacentral:tRNA from 1 species